CUCUCAGUAAACUGCAGGCCAUUAUCAUACAGCAACAAGAGCCAGGUGAUCUGAAGAUGCAUCCCUCAACCAAUCAGAACCCAGAAGAUCUGAGACAGACUGCUCCCUCAUUGAGACCUGUCAGUGCCCAAGGGCCAUCUAACGGAGACCAGGAACACCUACAAGUACCUGCCUCCUCUCUCCAGGAUCAGCCGUCCUUUGGCUCCACAUCUGUCCCCCUCUCAUCCUCCAGUCCUCCUUGCCUCUCUCCCUCAAACUCCUUCUCUGCCUCUCUCCCCGCAGUGUCCCUAUCUGCCUCAACCUCCCUUUCUUCCUUUGUUCCAUCCUACACUCCCGUUUUGUCCACUGAGAAGACGACUGACCCCUCAUCAGAUGUUGUCUCUGUCCCCGAUCCUGUCUGUGAUCCUGUCUCUGUCCCUUCACCCCUCUCCGCUCUAAAGAACCCAACACAUCUGAAGGACUGCGAGAGUCCAGAGUGGUGGGAGAGGAGGAGCCCAGAAAACAGAGAGACACUAAUGCUUCUGGAACUCCCAGACAAACAGACGGAGUACGCGGAGAGAGACCGGCUGACGGAGUACGCGGCGGGAGACCGGCUGACGGAGUACGCGGCGGGAGACCGGCUGACGGAGUACGCGGCGGGAGACCGGCUGACGGAGUACGCGGCGGGAGACCGGCUGACGGAGUACGCGGCGGGAGACCGGCUGACGGAGUACGCGGCGGGAGACCGGCUGACGGAGUACGCGGCGGGAGACCGGCUGACGGAGUACGCGGCGGGAGGACCGGCUGACGGAGUACGCGGCGGGAGACCGGCUGACGGAGUACGCGGCGGGAGACCGGCUGACGGAGUACGCGGCGGGAGACCGGCUGACGGAGUACGCGGCGGGAGACCGGCUGACGGAGUACGCGGCGGGAGACCGGCUGACGGAGUACGCGGCGGGAGACCGGCUGACGGAGUACGCGGCGGGGUGGACCCAGGCGGAAUACCCGGCGAGGUGGACCCAGGCGGAAUACCCGGCGAGGUGGACCCAGGCGGAAUACCCGGCGAGGUGGACCCAGGCGGAAUACCCGGCGAGAGAGAGACUGGCGGAAUACCAGGCCACUCCUUGGGAAGGCUUACAUCAGUUUACAGAGCACAUGGGGACAGGAAAGGUGACCGACCAAGAACAGACACGUCAGGUUGGAACCUCACAGCUGGAGCCUUCGCCGUUAAGAUGGCUCAGUGUUCCCCAGGUGUUUCUGCACCCGGACACUCCGGCAGGUGAAAUGGUGGCGUCUGGAUUCACUGAUUGGCUGAAUGAUGUUACCUGGAAAUUCUUGGUGUUGAUUGGAGUUGUUUUUGUCACUUACAGCUAAGAGAAUUGCCGGACCGAGCCAUCUGUCCAAGUACCUUAAAGUGAAGGGCCUUCACGACACCGAGCCUAUUAUAGGUCAGUGUGUGUGUGUACGUUUCAGUGUGUGUGUUCCAGUGUAUGUGUUCCUGUUUUGCUAUCGUAGAAAUAAUGCCUAGUGAGGAUGUUUGACCGGUCCUUAACUUUGGCAAGAAGCAUUAUCUUAGGGUUUAGUGUGAGGUUUAUGAUUAGGUUUGGGUAUUGUUGUUAUUUUUAAUGACCCCAAAUUGCCGGUCUUCAUCUUGUUCAAACCAACGUGCGGAUGCUUGGUAGAACGUACAUUUUACAUUUCACUUACGAGAACAUCUUAUCCACAGUAGUGUUUAUACAUUCUUAUUACAUCUUUUAAAUGGUGUUCUGUAAGGUAGAGUGAUCUCUCAGAUGGUGCGUGUGUGCGUGCAUGCCUUUCAGGUCUUGGUAGUGUGUUGGAGUGUCGAGGUAUAUCUCAAGCUACAUUCUUCAUGUGCGUGACCUGUGCUGAGACUUUCUCCAGCACGCACAUCUGUGAACACAUCAUCAGUGCACGGCACCAGCAGUACUACAUGGUGAGUGACAUCGUCAGUCAAUCAGUCAAAUUUAUUUAUAAAGCCCUUUUUACAACAGCAAUUGUCACCAAGUGCUUUUACAGACACCCGGCCUCAAGUGUGUGACACUAAUAGUGACUACAAAAAUGUUUGCCUGAAGCAAUUUAGAUUUGAAAUGAUACAGUGACUUUUGUUGAACUUAUAAUAACCAAGUGCAGAUUGUCAGCUUUGAGUUCAUAUAGUAAUUAGAGCACAUUUUGUAAAUAGUGCCUCCAAUUCUAAUAUUAACUAAAACAUUCUUGGUCUUCCGGUUGUCAGACAGCAGUUACAGACUCCAAAUGCAAAUGCAGAGCCCUAGAACCAAGGCAGACCUUGACAGCUCUAUUGUGCAUGCACUAAUAUUU
rnacentral:lncRNA from 1 species